GCGCGCGUAGAACAAUUACGUAGUGCACCUGAUUUAUGCAUCAGGAGGUUGGGGUCCGACUCCCUCCGCACGUA
rnacentral:tRNA from 1 species